AUUGAACGCUGGCGGAGUGCUUUACACAUGCAAGUCGAACGGCAGCACGGACUUCGGUCUGGUGGCGAGUGGCGAACGGGUGAGUAAUGUAUCGGAACGUGCCCAGUCGUGGGGGAUAACGUAGUGAAAAUUACGCCAAUACCGCAUACGAUCUAUGGAUGAAAGCGGGGGAUCGCAAGACCUCGCGCGAUUGGAGCGGCCGAUAUCAGAUUAGGUAGUUGGUGGGGUAAAGGCCCACCAAGCCAACGAUCUGUAGCUGGUCUGAGAGGACGACCAGCCACACUGGAACUGAGACACGGUCCAGACUCCUACGGGAGGCAGCAGUGGGGAAUUUUGGACAAUGGGCGAAAGCCUGAUCCAGCCAUUCCGCGUGCAGGAUGAAGGCCCUCGGGUUGUAAACUGCUUUUGUACAGAACGAAAAGGUUUCUACUAAUACUAGGAGCUCAUGACGGUACUGUAAGAAUAAGCACCGGCUAACUACGUGACAGCAGCCGCGGUAA
rnacentral:rRNA from 1 species